rnacentral:lncRNA from 1 species
UCCUGCUUGUUUUCCGGUUGUUCGGGUUGGUUUUAUUUGUCGGGUCGGUUUUUCCACUCUCAGCCCGUUAUCGCCCGCCGGUCCGGUGCUGUUUGGUUUUGUCCUUUUUGAAAUUUGGAGUGCGUGUCGUUCCCCUUUCCCAUUUGGGUCAUUCUGUUUCGAUAAGGCCGAGGGAGAGAGCCCGGGCGGCGGAGGCGACGCGAUUCCAUGGUGAUUCUGAUCUUCCCCUCUCCUCGUGCUUGAUUUUUCCUCCGUGUUCCUUCGAUCCCGGCUCCCGUGGUACGUUGCUGCUGUCUCUCGUGGUUCCCCGUUUGAUUUUGCUCCUGUUGUGGUCAUGUUUUUCGGGAUCUAGGUGAAAUUCAUGUAUGUGGAUUCGGAUUUCGCAUGUUUCUGCUCGUGGUUCCCUGUAGCGGUUGUAGGUGAUGUUGUGUUGUUGUUGGUGGAUCCGUGGAAGGGGUGCUCAAGUCCGUCCUCUUCGUACUUCGGCAAUUUCCCCUCUGCUCCCGCUCGAGUGAGUUGUGUUGGAGCUUGCAACUGCGGGUUAUAGGCCGCCCCCUGCUUGUAGUUGUGAUUUGUAGCCUUAGAUUGCUGCUGUAGGUGGUGGAUGUAGUCCUAGUGAUUGUUGUAGGGUUGAUUUCACUACGAAUUUUCUAGUUGGAGAUGCUCCAUCCUACCAUCUUGUAGGUGUGUCUGAAUUUCUUCAGGUCCUGUAGAAUUUCUUCCUCACCUGCUUGUAGUUGUUCUUAGUUGUUGUAGUUGCUUGUAGCUGCCUGUAGUGUUCGCCCAUGUGUUGUUCUAGGUUCUGUAGGGGUGGUAGUAACAUUUUGCUACAGUUCUCCCCUGUUAUUGUAGAUGUGGAUGUAGUUUACAUUUUGCUGCAGGUGGUAGAGGUAGUCACAGUGGUAGUUGGAGGGGUUGUAUUUGUUUCUCCUAGUAUUCGUCAUGACUGCCCUAUGGCUGGUGUCAUUGUGAAUUUGUUUUGCAACAGUCUGAAUUUGUUUUGUAGGGGUUGUUUGUUCAGUGUUCACAUGCAGUGUAAUUUAACCAGCAUUUUCACUGUUUUUACCCCAUAAUGGUAGUGUAAUUUAACCAGCAUUUACUGUGUAAUCCAUCAUAAUUUCAGUUUUUUCAGUAUAAUGUGCCCUAGAAUAACUAUGUAAUUUAACCUACAUUUACAUUGUAAUCUAACCUUAUCUUUACUCAGUAAUUUAACCUUCUAAAUUCUCAGUGUAUUUUACACUGUAACAUGUCCCAAUUCUCAGUGUAAUUUUGUGCUAUAUUUACACUGAUUUUGUGCUAUUAUUGCUGUGUAAUUGUCCCGUAGUUUCAGUGUAAUACACAACUUAGUUUCAGUGUAAUCUUCACGAUAACUUCUGCGUAAUUGUCCCUUAGUUUCAUUGUAAUAUGCAACUUAGUUUCAUUGUAACUUAGUUUCUCUAUAACUUCAGUGUAAUUCACUGCAUAGUUUCAGUGUAAUUUUCACUAGAAUUACUGUGUAAUUUGACCAAUAGGUUGUUUGCAAUGUUCCGUCACAGUGUAAUUUGCGCCAAAGUUACAGUGUAAUUUUCAUUGUAACAACUAUGUAAUUUGUGCCAGAGUUUCUGUGUAAUUAUGAUGGCAAUAUUACUGUGUAAUUUGUAGUGUACUUACACUGUAAUCUGUCCAUUUUCAGUUGAUUGCUUGUAGUGUAAUUCUUGUAGUGUAAUUACUGUGUAAUUUGUAUGUAGUCUGCCCAUUUUACAGUGUAAUUACUGCUAGAAUUACUGUGUAUUUUGUAGUGUAGUUACACCGUAAUGUGCCCCUUUUUACAAAGUAAUUAUACUAUAACGGAUUUGCUAUUUUUCAGUCGACUGAUUUACAAGGCCAUCGUUCAAAUCUUUGUCCGUCCGUUGUCGCGCGGAGAUUCGCGCUCGAUCGCCCUGUCCUGUGUGGUUUUCGGGUUGGUUUUAUUUUUUUAGCCCGUUUGCGCUGCCCCGCCCCACCCGGACAGUUCACUGUUGGUUUUUAUCCCUUUGUAGUCCCCGUGUAGGAUUUCGCUAUAGUGGAAGUAGAUGCAACAAACGGCUGGAUCUAUGUGGAUGUUGGAGUGCUCAAUGUAGUUGUUCAGGUGUCCCUUCAUGCAAUUUCCUCCCCUUUUUGUGUGGAUGUAACUAGUGGAAUCUAGCUCGUAGGGUUAGCUCUGUAAGUGUGCAAGUUGGUUGUCAGUGAGUUAUAGUGAUUGUGACUGAAUUUUUUCAGCUAAUCCACUCGACAUUAGAUGUGGUGCUGGUGUUUUUAGCAUUUUGGAUGUGGAAUGCAUGUGCUUAGUUUGCUAGUUACCCUGGAUUUUACCUAGUAAUUCCAGUGUAUUUGUCACACCUUUUGAGUUGAUUUACAUUGUAUUUUUUAGUGUAUUUUUGAGUUGAUUCCCAUCAUUUUUCAGUGCCAAUGAUUCCAGUGUAAUCUAGUGUAUCUACAGUGUAAUUUAUCCCAGUUUUACAGUGAAUUUUCACCAACAACUCCAGUGUAUUUUACCCAAUAAUAAUGCUGUAAUUUGUCAUCGGAUUUAAAUGGACUGUAAUUUGAAUGUAAUUACAGUGCACUACGGUGUAUUUGUCAUCGGAUUUUAAGUGGACUGUAAUUUGAUUGUAAUUAUUGUAGUAUCCGACUUACAAUGUAAAUUUAGUGUAGUUGCACUAUAACAGUAUUUCAUAGGGGAUUUACAGUGUAAUUUUCAGUUUAAUUGCACUGUAAGUAUUGAUAUCUGAUUUACAGUGUAAAUUCAGUGUAAUUCCACAGUAAUUAUGAGUGUACUCACAGUGACAAUUACGUCAGUGUAAUUACUCUGUAAUAUGCCCCAAUUCUCAGCGUAAUUUUGUGCUAUAUUUACAUUGUAAUAUGUCCCAAUUCUUUUUCAGUAACGACCAUCACAACUUUGUAAUCUGAUUUUGCAAUGACAGUUGUCUUUCUUAUAGGCACUACACUUUCCUUUUCCACUUCUUUUGUCUUGCCAUACUUGUUGCAUUUCAUAGUAAUUCUUGUAAUUUCAUUGUUCCUUUUCUUGCUCACUGUUCUUGAUGCCGCGACAGUAGCCACUGAGAACCCAGCUAUUUUUGAGUAAAAGUUGAAGUACUCCUGCGCUUCUUCCUUUGUUUUGAACUGCAUGCCAAGUUCUGGCUUGAAAUUGCUGCUGAUGUUCAUCAAAUUUCCCUCUGAUGCGGCAGCCUCUUCAUUUUGCAGGAACAUCUCAAUGUCAUCUUCAUCAUAAAUGCAUCUUCUUCAUCAAGGGAGGCUUUGCUUUCAGGUUGUUGAUGCAAGUCCCCUUGUUCGCCCCUUUCUUCUUGAUUGUUUUGAUUUCUGUUAGUUUUUGCUGUUGCUGUACAAUCAGCAUCAUCAUUCAUCUGCAUUUUUUCAUUGUCCAUGUGUUAGAUUUUAUUUUGUGACAUUUUUCUUUCAAGAUAUGUAGUUGAAACAAUUGGUUUUGUAACAUCUUACCUCAUGUAUGUUGAUGUUCUCAAACAGGCCUGCCUCCCACGGAUUAACUUGCGCUUGCGCAUCUUCGCCUGUCGACUGUUGCCAAUUCUGCAUCUGUUGUGUAAGUCAUCAUAAUGUUUGUCAUUCAGCUAUCUUUUCCAUACCAUUUUUUGUUCUGAUUUAUUUAGAAAGGAAAUUUAUUUACGUUUGCAUGUCCUGAGCUGUAGGUGGUAUCUGCUUGUUUGUUGUAGUUUUCCUUUUCUCCGUGAUUCAUAUUUGCUUGUCCAUUCACUGAGUGAACCUUGUAUAUGAUGUCUGAUUGUAGGAGCGCAGUAAACGGAAAUGAUCCCUGCAGUAUUUAGUUAUGAUUGUCAAUAUUGGCAAUCAGAAAAUGGCUGCUUUGUCAGUAUUGUAACUCACAUUUAGUAUGAGGUCUUCUUGUGACAUUGACGAUGGAUCUUCUUCAGUUACUGUUUUUUGUUUUCUUUCUUCCUGCAAAUAAAUUUGUAGUAAUGACAGUUAGUAGCAAAAAAAUAACGAAUACAUUACAUUGACAGUAGAUCUUCUUCAGAUACUGGAAUAAUUUUCUUACCAACUUUUGUUUGAUUGUGUGUUGUAUUUUUCUAUUCUGCAUCUACUGUUAAUGCCUAGGUUUUCCUCUGCAUCUAUUGUUAAUGCCUUUUCUGCAUCUACUAUUAAUCCAGAGGAAAACUAUGUGGUGUAUUUUCUUACUAACUUAUGUAUUUUUCUUUUGUUUUCUCCAAUUUUCUUGUUAUGUGAUGAAUGCUCCCAAAAUUUCUGCAAUUAUCUGUGUUUUAGCUCUCUGAUUUAAUCACCUAAUGAUCUACCCCCUGUUGUUUCUUGACUUCUAGGUGGACAUAAUGAGAGGAGUUGAAGAUUUUCAUGUACAUGUUGUUUUCCUCUGGAUUGAUAUUGCUGUGUAGCACAAGUGACUGCUUCUGUUCUACCUCUAGGUAAUUCCCUCUGCCAUGCCUCUGCCUCUCCCCUGUUUCCCUCUCCCAUGGCGUUUGUGCCAUGUUCUUCUUCCACCUCCCCCUCUCCCAUGGCUUCUCUGGCUUGUUCUUCUCCCCACUCCCUCUCUCCAAUGGCGUCUCUGCCAUGUCUUUCUCCUCCAUGCCCCUCUCCCAUGGCUUCUCUGCUAUGUUCUUCUCCCCCCUCUAUCUGUCCAAUGGCGUCUGUGCCAUGUCCCUCUCCCAUGGCGUUUGUGCUAGGUGAGAUCUGUGAGAUAUGUCAAAAGGGGGGUAGAAGGAGGCAGGUUUUUUUUCGUGUCUCAAGUUGAAGAAGAGCCUCUUGCUGAUUAUGUUUUCCUGCCAGGUGCCAGAAGGAAAGGAGGACAACUGGGAGGGACCGGUUCAACCUUUUGUUUGUUUUUGGUUGACCCGUUUUCAACCCGACCCGUUUUCAACAGACAACUGUCAACAGUUCAUUGGAUGGAAAAAAUGACUGACAUCUAAUUACAAAUCAAUCGAAUUACAAAUAGACACUCCCUUCCUUUUUUUGAGGGGAAAAAGUGAAAACUAUUUAAUUCUUCCUUUAGCGAGUUGAUACGGACAUUGUUUUUUUUCUUUUGCGAAGUCAUAUGGACAUUGUUGAGAGGAGGAGGAGGAGGCCUGCAGAGACCGAGCGCCGUGCGCGCUGACGCCCAUGCCCAUGCACAUGCAUGCGCGCGCGCAAAUGUCGGAUCGGCCGGCCUCGAUGGAUGACACACGUGGUGUGUGUUGGCCAUGCACAUGCAUAGAUACUACUACAU